rnacentral:tRNA from 1 species
GCCCAUCUGGCUCACUGGAUAGAGCAUCAGCCUGUGGACCGAAGGGUCCCAGGUUCGAUUCCUGGUCAAGGGCA